AUUGAACGCUGGCGGCAGGCCUAACACAUGCAAGUCGAGCGGAUUUUGGGGGCUUGCUCCCAAGGUUAGCGGCGGACGGGUGAGUAACGCGUAGGAAUUUGCCCAGUAGUGGGGGAUAACGUUCCGAAAGGAACGCUAAUACCGCAUACGCCCCAUGGGGGAAAGCAGGGGAUCUUCGGACCUUGCGCUAUUGGAGAAGCCUGCGUCGGACAAGCUAGUUGGUAGGGUAAAGGCCGACCAAGGCGACGAUCCGUAGCUGGUCUGAGAGGAUGAUCAGCCACACUGGGACUGAGACACGGCCCAGACUCCUACGGGAGGCAGCAGUGGGGAAUAUUGGACAAUGGGGGCAACCCUGAUCCAGCCAUGCCGCGUGUGUGAAGAAGGCCUUCGGGUUGUAAAGCACUUUCAGUAGGGAGGAAAAGUUGGCGGCUAAUAUCCGUUGACCCUGACGUUACCUACAGAAGAAGCACCGGCAAACUCCGUGCCAGCAGCCGCGGUAA
rnacentral:rRNA from 1 species